rnacentral:misc_RNA from 1 species
GUCACAAUCUCAUGGAUGAAUUUAGGAGGAAAAAAGAAUUUGUUAAAUCUUCAACAUUUAGAAGCACUAAUUGUCUAACACAGCAUGGUCAUCCUUGCAGAAAGUGUGUCUCUUGUAAUUUCCAAUCCACUGAUUAUCAAUUCAACAAAAACUCCAACGUAUAACAAAUUCAUCUUCCAUUCACAUUUUCUUCUAUAUUCUUCUCAG